CAAAUCCGACCCAGAUCCGACGACCCCCCACCAUGCCAUUUUCCCUCAUUUCGUCUCCCUCCCAAACCCUAGAGACCGUUGCCCUCAAAUCCCCAUCGCCUCCACCUUGUUCCGCCUACUCCGCCCACCGAAAAUUGCCGCACGGUGGUUCCAAUGAUAUAGUCAAUACCAAAUUAACACCAUGAACUCCUCUCCACCUCCCCAUCCCAAAUCUAUAAACAACUCCUCUUAAAUCCCCCUCUGUUGCCUCGAAUCUCAUAUCUAAGGUCAGUGCCAAAAACCCAAAUUCGCCCAAACCUACCCAAAACCUCAGCAGGCCGUCUCCUUGUUCCCUUCACCUCUCACAUCAUGUUGAUUUUCUAAAAUUCUUGUCAGAUAUGGAGCGAUUUUAAAUAAAAAUCCGGGAAGAAAAAAGAAGAAGAAGAAAAGCCUAAGGUUUUAAUAUAUUUCAAAUGGGCCAUACCCGCAUGAGUCAUUUUUCGUCAUGUUUUCUUAUCAGUCUUCUUUGUUCUCUUCUUCAAUUUUCGAUUCACUUAGUUUGCAUGACUUAGGAUUUAUCAAUGCUCCAGCUUUAUGUGUUUUUAUUUCCGUCUUGUUUGAGUAGUAUGAACUAGCAUGUUUUAGUAAUUUUAUUGCACGAAAUGCCUAC
rnacentral:lncRNA from 1 species